rnacentral:rRNA from 1 species
UGGGGAAUAUUGCACAAUGGGCGCAAGCCUGAUGCAUCGACGCCGCGUGAGGGAUGACGGCCUUCGGGUUGUAAACCUCUUUCAGUAGGGAAGAAGCGAAAGUGACGGUACCUGCAUAAGAAGCGCCGGCUAACUACGUG